rnacentral:rRNA from 1 species
AACAGGUUAGAUACCCUGGUAGUCCACGCCCUAAACGAUGUCUACUAGUUGUUGGUGGAGUAAAAUCCAUGAGUAACGCAGCUAACGCGUGAAGUAGACCGCCUGGGGAGUACGGUCGCAAGAUUAAAACUCAAAUGAAUUGACGGGGGCCCGCACAAGCGGUGGAUUAUGUGGAUUAAUUCGAUGCAACGCGAAAAACCUUACCUGGCCUUGACAUGUAACGAACUUUCCAGAGAUGGAUUGGUGCUCGAAAGAGAACGUUAACACAGGUGCUGCAUGGCUGUCGUCAGCUCGUGUCGUGAGAUGUUGGGUUAAGUCCCGCAACGAGCGCAACCCUUGCCAAUAAUUGCCAUCAUUUAGUUGGGCACUUUAUUGGGACUGCCGAUGACAAAUCGGAGGAAGGUGGGGAUGACGUCAAGUCCUCAUGGCCCUUAUGGCCAGGGCUUCACACGUAAUACAAUGGUCGGUACAGAGGGUUGCCAAGCCGCAAGGUGGAGCCAAUCCCAGAAAGCCGAUCGUAGUCCGGAUUGAGGUCUGCAACUCGACCUCAUGAAGUCGGAAUCGCUAGUAAUCGCGGAUCAGCAUGUCGCGGUGAAUACGUUCCCGGGCCUUGUACACACCGCCCGUCACACCAUGGGAGUGGGUUUUACCAGAAGUAGGUAGUCUAACCGCAAGGAGGACGCUUACCACGGUAGUAUUCAUGACUGGGGUGAAGUCGUAACAAGGUAACC